rnacentral:rRNA from 1 species
CCUACGGGUGGCAGCAGUGAGGAAUAUUGGUCAAUGGGCGCGAGCCUGAACCAGCCAAGUAGCGUGAAGGAUGACUGCCCUACGGGUUGUAAACUUCUUUUAUAAAGGAAUAAAGUGAGGCACGUGUGCCUUUCUGUAGGUACUUUAUGAAUAAGCAUCGGCUAACUCCGUGCCAGCAGCCGCGGUAAUACGGAGGAUCCGAGCGUUAUCCGGAUUUAUUGGGUUUAAAGGGAGCGUAGACGGGUUGUUAAGUCAGGUGUGAAAGGUUGCGGCUCAACCGGAGAAUUGCAAUUGAUACUGGCAGUCUUGAGUACAGGUGAGGUAGGCGGAAUGCGUGGUGUAGCGGUGAAAUGCUUAGAUAUCACGAAGAACUCCGAUUGCGAAGGCAGCUUACUGAAGUGCCACUGACAUUGAGGCUCGAAAGUGUGGGUAUCAAACAGGAUUAGAUACCCUGGUAGUC